UGCCUCCUGAGUGCUGGCGUGCACCACCAUACCUGGCCUGUCUUAAAUUUUAGUUGUUUAGGAUACCUGUACUGGUUGGGGUGUCCUUCUUGGGGCGUUGGAGGCUGCUGGGCUGACUCUGCUCUUGUGUGCUCUUGCCCUAGGUCAUGACCUUUUUCAGCAGCCCCCAGUGACUUCUGUGGGGAGUGUGCAGCCAUGGCCAGAGCCGCCAGCCCCAGCCCCAGUGCAGGCUCCCACACUGCGCCAAGGCUGCUUCUACCUGCUGGUCCUCGUCCCCAUCAUCUGUGCACUGCUGCAGCUCUUCACCUGGUCCCAGUUCACACUGCAUGGGAGACGCCUACGUAUGGUCAAGGCCCAGCGUCAGAACCUAGCUCAGAUCCAUACCCUGAACAUUAAGAUGGUGUGAGACGUCUGGCAGGGCCACUGUGCUGAGAUCAUUCAUUGCCCUAGUCCCAGCAGUAGCCUCUCUUGCCAGCUAGCAUCCUGCUUCCUCACCACCUCUGGGUUUAAGCCCAGCGAACAGAUGAUGUCGGGGAGCUCCUAGGGUAGAACCAGGAGCAUCACCAAGGUCUGCCCUUCUUUAGUCACAUGACUCAGCUUGUGCAAGGGCUGGGCGUAUGUGCUCAGGGACCUGCAGCUCCUGUAGGGCAGGAAGAAAGGACCAGAAAGGGCAGGACUGAGUGCGGUGCCC
rnacentral:lncRNA from 1 species